rnacentral:rRNA from 1 species
UGGGGAAUUUUGGACAAUGGGCGGAAGCCUGAUCCAGCAAUGCCGCGUGUGUGAAGAAGGCCUUCGGGUUGUAAAGCACUUUUGUCCGGAAAGAAAUCCUUGGCUCUAAUACAGUCGGGGGAUGACGGUACCGGAAGAAUAAGCACCGGCUAACUACGUGCCAGCAGCCGCGGUAAUACGUAGGGUGCAAGCGUUAAUCGGAAUUACUGGGCGUAAAGCGUGCGCAGGCGGUUUGCUAAGACCGAUGUGAAAUCCCCGGGCUCAACCUGGGAACUGCAUUGGUGACUGGCAGGCUAGAGUAUGGCAGAGGGGGGUAGAAUUCCACGUGUAGCAGUGAAAUGCGUAGAGAUGUGGAGGAAUACCGAUGGCGAAGGCAGCCCCCUGGGCCAAUACUGACGCUCAUGCACGAAAGCGUGGGGAGCAAACAGGAUUAGAUACCCUGGUAGUCCACGCCCUAAACGAUGUCAACUAGUUGUUGGGGAUUCAUUUCCUUAGUAACGUAGCUAACGCGUGAAGUUGACCGCCUGGGGAGUACGGUCGCAAGAUUAAAACUUAAAUGAAUUGACGGGGUCAUAGCUGUUUCCU